UGGCAGUGUGGUUAGCUGGU
rnacentral:ncRNA from 12 species